rnacentral:rRNA from 1 species
CAAUAGCGUAUAUUAAAGUUGUUGCAGUUAAAAAGCUCGUAGUUGGAUUUGUGGUGUACUUCGGCGACCCGUCACUAUGUGAUGGAGCUUGCUGAAGUCGCCAUCCUUGGGUGGAUCCUGUGUGGCAUUAAGUUGUCGUGCAGGGGAUGCCCAUCGUUUACUGUGAAAAAAUUAGAGUGUUCAAAGCAGGCUUAUGCCGUUGAAUAUAUUAGCAUGGAAUAAUAAGAUAGGACCUUGGUACUAUUUUGUUGGUUUGCGCACCAAGGUAAUGAUUAAUAGGGACAGUUGGGGGUAUUCGUAUUUCAUUGUCAGAGGUGAAAUUCUUGGAUUUUUGAAAGACGAACUACUGCGAAAGCAUUUACCAAGGAUGUUUNCAUUA